rnacentral:rRNA from 1 species
UACGUAGGGGGGCAAGCGUUGUCCGGAUUUAUUGGGCGUAAAGAGCGUGUAGGCGGCCGUACAGGUCAGCUGUGAAAACUCGAGGCUCAACCUCGAGACGUCGGUUGAAACCGUACGGCUAGAGUCCGGAAGAGGAGAGUGGAAUUCCCGGUGUAGCGGUGAAAUGCGCAGAUAUCGGGAAGAACACCCGUGGCGAAGGCGGCUCUCUGGGACGGUACUGACGCUGAGACACGAAAGCGUGGGUAGCAAACAGG